CGCUGGCGCAGGCCUAACACAUGCAAGUCGAGCGGCAGCGGGAAGUAGCUUGCUACUUUGCCGGCGAGCGGCGGACGGGUGAGUAAUGUCUGGGAAACUGCCUGAUGGAGGGGGAUAACUACUGGAAACGGUAGCUAAUACCGCAUGACCUCGCAAGAGCAAAGUGGGGGACCUUCGGGCCUCACGCCAUCGGAUGUGCCCAGAUGGGAUUAGCUAGUAGGUGGGGUAAUGGCUCACCUAGGCGACGAUCCCUAGCUGGUCUGAGAGGAUGACCAGCCACACUGGAACUGAGACACGGUCCAGACUCCUACGGGAGGCAGCAGUGGGGAAUAUUACACAAUGGGCGCAAGCCUGAUGCAGCCAUGCCGCGUGUAUGAAGAAGGCCUUCGGGUUGUAAAGUACUUUCAGCGAGGAGGAAGGCAUUAAGGUUAAUAACCUUAGUGAUUGACGUUACUCGCAGAAGAAGCACCGGCUAACUCCGUGCCAGCAGCCGCGGUAAUACGGAGGGUGCAAGCGCUAAUCGGAAUUACUGGGCGUAAAGCGCACGCAGGCGGUUUGUUAAGUCAGAUGUGAAAUCCCCGGGCUCAACCUGGGAACUGCAUUUGAAACUGGCAAGCUUGAGUCUUGUAGAGGGGGGUAGAAUUCCAGGUGUAGCGGUGAAAUGCGUAGAGAUCUGGAGGAAUACCGGUGGCGAAGGCGGCCCCCUGACAAAGACUGACGCUCAGGUGCGAAAGCGUGGGGAGCAAACAGGAUUAGAUACCCUGGUAGUCCACGCUGUAAACGAUGUCGACUUGGAGGUUGUUCCCUUGAGGAGUGGCUUCCGGAGCUAA
rnacentral:rRNA from 1 species